rnacentral:rRNA from 1 species
UACGAACCGUGCGAACGUUAUUCGGAAUCACUGGGCUUAAAGCGCGUGUAGGCGGACGGGGACGUCGGUCGCUGAAAUCCCCCGGCUCAACCGGGGAACGGGCGCCGAAACGCCCCGUCUCGAGGGACGUAGGGGGACCUGGAACUUCCGGUGGAGCGGUGAAAUGCGUUGAGAUCGGAAGGAACGCCCGUGGCGAAAGCGAGGUCCUGGACGUCUACUGACGCUGAGACGCGAAAGCUAGGGGAGCGAACGGG